rnacentral:rRNA from 1 species
GAUGAACGCUGGCGGCGUGCUUGACACAUGCAAGUCGAACGGAAAGGCUCCUGCUUGCAGGGGUACUCGAGUGGCGAACGGGUGAGUAACACGUGGGUGAUCUGCCCUGCACUUCGGGAUAAGCCUGGGAAACUGGGUCUAAUACCGGAUAGGACGAUGGUUUGGAUGCCAUUGUGGAAAGUUUUUCGGUGUGGGAUGAGCUCGCGGCCUAUCAGCUUGUUGGUGGGGUAAUGGCCUACCAAGGCGUCGACGGGUAGCCGGCCUGAGAGGGUGUACGGCCACAUUGGGACUGAGAUACGGCCCAGACUCCUACGGGAGGCAGCAGUGGGGAAUAUUGCACAAUGGGCGCAAGCCUGAUGCAGCGACGCCGCGUGGGGGAUGACGGCCUUCGGGUUGUAAACUCCUUUCGCUAGGGACGAAGCGCAAGUGACGGUACCUGGAGAAGAAGCACCGGCUAACUACGUG